CUACGGGCCGCUGCAGUGGGGAAUAUUGCACAAUGGGGGAAACCCUGAUGCAGCAACGCCGCGUGGAGGAUGACGCAUUUCGGUGUGUAAACUCCUUUUAUAUAGGAAGAUAAUGACGGUACUAUAUGAAUAAGCACCGGCUAACUCCGUGCCAGCAGCCGCGGUAAUAGGGAGGGUGCAAGCGUUACUCGGAAUCACUGGGCGUAAAGCGCGCGCAGGCGGCCUUUUAAGUUGGAUGUGAAAGCCUAUGGCUUAACCAUAGAACUGCAUCCAAAACUAUCAGGCUAGAGUCUGGGAGGGGAAGAUGGAAUUAGUUGUGUAGGGGUAAAAUCCGUAGAGAUAACUAGGAAUACCAAAAGCGAAGGCGAUCUUCUGGAACAGUACUGACGCUGAGGCGCGAAAGCGUGGGGAGCAAACAGGAUUAGUACCCGUGUAGUC
rnacentral:rRNA from 1 species